ensembl:rRNA 5S_rRNA 5S ribosomal RNA
GUCUAUAGCCACACCAUUCUGAAUCUUGGAAGGUAAUCCCAUCUGAUCUUGGAAGGUAAGCAGGGUCAAGCUUGGUUCAUACUUGAAUGGGAAACCCCCUGGAAAUACUGAGUGCUGUUGGCU